GGUGAACGCUGGCGGCGUGCUUAACACAUGCAAGUCGAACGGAAAGGCCCAAGCUUGCUUGGGUACUCGAGUGGCGAACGGGUGAGUAACACGUGGGUGAUCUGCCCUGCACUUCGGGAUAAGCCUGGGAAACUGGGUCUAAUACCGGAUAGGACCACAUUUUGGAUGGUGUGGUGGAAAGUUUUUCGGUGUGGGAUGAGCUCGCGGCCUAUCAGCUUGUUGGUGGGGUAAUGGCCUACCAAGGCGUCGACGGGUAGCCGGCCUGAGAGGGUGUACGGCCACAUUGGGACUGAGAUACGGCCCAGACUCCUACGGGAGGCAGCAGUGGGGAAUAUUGCACAAUGGGCGCAAGCCUGAUGCAGCGACGCCGCGUGGGGGAUGACGGCCUUCGGGUUGUAAACUCCUUUCGCUAGGGACGAAGCGUUUUUGUGACGGUACCUGGAGAAGAAGCACCGGCUAACUACGUG
rnacentral:rRNA from 1 species